rnacentral:rRNA from 1 species
CUCCACCAGAGUACUACAAGCCACAGCUUAAAACUCAAAGGACUUGGCGGUGCCCUAAACCCCCCCAGAGGAGCCUGUUCUAUAAUCGACAAUCCACGCUAAACCUCACCACCUUUUGCCAACUCAGCCUAUAUACCACCGUCGCCAGCCUACCUCGUGAGAGACUCUAAGUAGACAAAAACGAUCAACCCGAACACGCCAGGUCAAGGUGUAGCACACAAGGUGGGAAGAAAUGGGCUACAUUUUCUUAAAAAGAAUACCACGAAUCUAUUAUGAAAAUAUACUUGAAGGCGGAUUUGGCAGUAAGAGGCGAACAAUAUAUACCCCCCUUAAACCGGCCCUAGGGCGCGCACA